CGGACGGGUGAGUAAUGUCUGGGAAACUGCCUGAUGGAGGGGGAUAACUACUGGAAACGGUAGCUAAUACCGCAUAACGUCGCAGACCAAAGAGGGGGACCUUCGGGCCUCUUGCCAUCGGAUGUGCCCAGAUGGGAUUAGCUAGUAGGUGGGGUAACGGCUCACCUAGGCGACGAUCCCUAGCUGGUCUGAGAGGAUGACCAGCCACACUGGAACUGAGACACGGUCCAG
rnacentral:rRNA from 1 species